GCGGUAGUGGCGGAAUUGGCAGACGCGCUAGAUUCAGGUUCUAGUCUGUUCACGCAGGUGGAGGUUCAAGUCCUCUCUACCGCACCA
rnacentral:tRNA from 1 species